GGGUUGUGAGGUUAAGCGACUAAGCGUACACGGUGGAUGCCUAGGCAGUCAGAGGCGAUGAAGGGCGUGCAAAUCUGCGAAAAGCGUCGGCAAGGCGAUAUGAGCCGUAAUACCCGACGAUACCCGAAUGGGGAAACCCAGUGUGUUCCGACACACUAUCGCAACAUGAAUACAUAGUGUUGCGAGGCGAACCGGGGGAACUGAAACAUCUCAGUACCCCGAGGAAAAGAAAUCAACCGAGAUUCCCCCAGUAGCGGCGAGCGAACGGGGAAGAGCCCAGAACCUGAAUCAGUUUGUGUGUUAGUGGAAGCGUCUGGAAAGUCGCAGGGUACAGGGUGAUACUCCCGUACACAAAAAUGCACUCGCUGUGAGUUCGAUGAGUAGGGCGGGACACGAGAUAUCCUGUCUGAAGAUGGGGGGACCAUCCUCCAAGGCUAAAUACUCCUGACUGACCGAUAGUGAACCAGUACCGUGAGGGAAAGGCGAAAAGAACCCCGGCGAGGGGAGUGAAAGAGAACCUGAAACCGUGUACGUACAAGCAGUGGGAGCAUCCUUUGUGGUGUGACUGCGUACCUUUUGUAUAAUGGGUCAGCGACUUAUAUUCUGUAGCAAGGUUAACCGCAUAGGGGAGCCGCAGGGAAACCGAGUCUUAACUGGGCGUUAAGUUGCAGGGUAUAGACCCGAAACCCGGUGAUCUAGCCAUGGGCAGGUUGAAGGUUGGGUAACACUAACUGGAGGACCGAACCGACUAAUGUUGAAAAAUUAGCGGAUGACUUGUGGCUGGGGGUGAAAGGCCAAUCAAACCGGGAGAUAGCUGGUUCUCCCCGAAAGCUAUUUAGGUAGCGCCUCGUGAACUCAUCUUCGGGGGUAGAGCACUGUUUCGACUAGGGGGUCAUCCCGGCUUACCAACCCGAUGCAAACUGCGAAUACCGAAGAAUGUUAUCACGGGAGACACACGGCGGGUGCUAACGUCCGUCGUGAAGAGGGAAACAACCCAGACCGCCAGCUAAGGUCCCAAAGUCAUGGUUAAGUGGGAAACGAUGUGGGAAGGCCCAGACAGCCAGGAUGUUGGCUUAGAAGCAGCCAUCAUUUAAAGAAAGCGUAAUAGCUCACUGGUCGAGUCGGCCUGCGCGGAAGAUGUAACGGGGCUAAACCAUGCACCGAAGCUGCGGCAGCGACAUUUAGGUGUUGUUGGGUAGGGGAGCGUUCUGUAAGCCGUUGAAGGUGGCCUGUGAGGGCUGCUGGAGGUAUCAGAAGUGCGAAUGCUGACAUAAGUAACGAUAAUGCGGGUGAAAAACCCGCACGCCGGAAGACCAAGGGUUCCUGUCCAACGUUAAUCGGGGCAGGGUGAGUCGACCCCUAAGGCGAGGCCGAAAGGCGUAGUCGAUGGGAAACAGGUUAAUAUUCCUGUACUGGUUGUUACUGCGAAGGGGGGACGGAGAAAGCUGGGUUGGCCGGGUGACGGUAGUCCCGGUUUAAGCGUGCAGGUGGAUGUUUUUGGAAAAUCCGGAACAUCAUUAACACUGAGGCGUGAUGACGAGUCACUACGGUGAUGAAGCAACUGAUGCUACGCUUCCAGGAAAAGCCUCUAAGCACCAGGUAACAGUCAAUCGUACCCCAAACCGACACAGGUGGUCAGGUAGAGAAUACUCAGGCGCUUGAGAGAACUCGGGUGAAGGAACUAGGCAAAAUGGUGCCGUAACUUCGGGAGAAGGCACGCUGGCGCGUAGGUGAAGUCCCUGGCGGAUGGAGCCGAAGCCAGUCGCAGAUACCAGCUGGCUGCAACUGUUUAAUAAAAACACAGCACUGUGCAAACACGAAAGUGGACGUAUACGGUGUGACGCCUGCCCGGUGCCGGAAGGUUAAUUGAUGGGGUUAAGCGUAAGCUGAAGCUCUUGAUCGAAGCCCCGGUAAACGGCGGCCGUAACUAUAACGGUCCUAAGGUAGCGAAAUUCCUUGUCGGGUAAGUUCCGACCUGCACGAAUGGCGUAAUGAUGGCCAGGCUGUCUCCACCCGAGACUCAGUGAAAUUGAACUCGCUGUGAAGAUGCAGUGUACCCGCGGCAAGACGGAAAGACCCCGUGAACCUUUACUAUAGCUUGACACUGAACCUUGAGCCUUGAUGUGUAGGAUAGGUGGGAGGCAUUGAAGCGUGGACGCCAGUCUGCGUGGAGCCGACCUUGAAAUACCACCCUUUGAUGUUUGAUGUUCUAACGUGGGCCCCUGAACGGGGUUGCGGACAGUGUCUGGUGGGUAGUUUGACUGGGGCGGUCUCCUCCCAAAGCGUAACGGAGGAGCACGAAGGUUAGCUAAUCCUGGUCGGACAUCAGGAGGUUAGUGCAAAGGCAUAAGCUAGCUUGACUGCGAGAGUGACGGCUCGAGCAGGUGCGAAAGCAGGUCUUAGUGAUCCGGUGGUUCUGCAUGGAAGGGCCAUCGCUCAACGGAUAAAAGGUACUCCGGGGAUAACAGGCUGAUACCGCCCAAGAGUUCAUAUCGACGGCGGUGUUUGGCACCUCGAUGUCGGCUCAUCACAUCCUGGGGCUGAAGUAGGUCCCAAGGGUAUGGCUGUUCGCCAUUUAAAGUGGUACGCGAGCUGGGUUUAGAACGUCGUGAGACAGUUCGGUCCCUAUCUGCCGUGGGCGUUGGAAGAUUGAGAGGGGUUGCUCCUAGUACGAGAGGACCGGAGUGAACGCACCGCUGGUGUACGGGUUGUGAUGCCAAUUGCAUUGCCCGGUAGCUAAGUGCGGAAGAGAUAACCGCUGAAAGCAUCUAAGCGGGAAACUUGCCUCGAGAUGAGUCUUCCCUGGGCACGUGAUGCCCCUGAAGGGCCGUUGAAGACGACGACGUGGAUAGGCCGGAUGUGUAAGCGCAGCGAUGCGUUGAGCUGACCGGUACUAAUGACCCGAGAGGCUUAACCUUACAACACCGAAGGUGUUUUGUA
rnacentral:rRNA from 1 species